AUUGAACGCUGGCGGAAUGCUUUACACAUGCAAGUCGAACGGCAGCACGGGGGCAACCCUGGUGGCGAGUGGCGAACGGGUGAGUAACACAUCGGAACGCGUCCUGUAAUGGGGGAUAACCUGGCGAAAGCCAGGCUAAUACCGCAUACGUCCUGAGGGAGAAAGCGGGGGAUUGGCAACGACCUCGCGUUAUAGGAGUGGCCGAUGUCGGAUUAGCUAGUUGGUGGGGUAAAGGCCUACCAAGGCGACGAUCCGUAGCUGGUCUGAGAGGACGACCAGCCACACUGGGACUGAGACACGGCCCAGACUCCUACGGGAGGCAG
rnacentral:rRNA from 1 species